GCCGAUGAAGAGAAGAGUUCGCUGAUCCGAUGAUGAGCCCUAUGAGUCCUGAGG
rnacentral:snoRNA from 1 species